AAAUAACUAAGGAAGAGAGAAAGUAAAAGUGUGAGAGUGGGGUGGGGUGUGUGGCACUGGGUGAAUAAGAGAGGUAACAAAUUAGGGAUUUAAGAAAAAAAAAAAAAAGAGUAAAUGGUAAAACUAAGAAAGGAUAUUUUUGAAAUGAAAAAAAAUUGGGCAAAAAAAGAUGUAGUGGUGUAGAGGUGUAUGAGAGAACCUCUCUUGACUUUUUCUUCAUCAUCAUAUUGGAUUUGAGUAUGCUUUUCCUUUUCGUUUUGAUACAUUCAAAUAAAUCGAUACCUGCAUCAUAGAAUAUUUAUUAUAUUCCUUUUGUGUGUUAUCUCAAUACUAUUUAUUUUCUCUUUCUUUAGUAACCCAUUUGCUAAAAUGACUAAUUUCCGAAAGAAAAAAAAAAUG
rnacentral:lncRNA from 1 species